UCCGACUUAAAGGUCGGCAGUCUCGCUAGAGUGCCCAACUUAAUGAUGGCAACUAACGACAGGGGUUGCGCUCGUUGCAGGACUUAACCCAACACCUCACGGCACGAGCUGACGACAGCCAUGCACCACCUGUGAAGGUGUCCCGAAGGGAGGCCGUGUUUCCACGGCUGUCACCUACAUGUCAAGCCCAGGUAAGGUUCUUCGCGUUGCGUCGAAUUGAACCACAUGCUCCGCUGCUUGUGCGGGUCCCCGUCAAUUCCUUUGAGUUUUAGCCUUGCGGCCGUACUCCCCAGGCGGGGUACUUAGUGCGUUAGCGACGGCACGGGAGGAGUCGACACCUCCCACACCUAGUACCCAUCGUUUACGGCGUGGACUAC
rnacentral:misc_RNA from 1 species